rnacentral:rRNA from 1 species
AAGGUAGCGAAAUUCCUUGUCGGGUAAGUUCCGACCUGCACGAAUGGCGUAACGACUUCCCCACUGUCUCCAACAUCGACUCAGCGAAAUUGAAUUCUCCGUGAAGAUGCGGAGUAGGCGCGGUCAGACGGAAAGACCCCGUGCACCUUUACUACAGCUUCGCAGUGGCGUUAGUGGCGAUAUGUGUAGGAUAGGCGGGAG